CUGGGUGGGGCUCAGGGGCAGAGCGCUUGCCUGGCAUGUGUGAGGCCCUGGGUUCGAUUCUCAGCACCAAAA
rnacentral:tRNA from 1 species